AGUGAACGCUGGCGGUAGGCCUAACACAUGCAAGUCGAACGGCAGCACAGUAAGAGCUUGCUCUUACGGGUGGCGAGUGGCGGACGGGUGAGGAAUACAUCGGAAUCUACUUUUUCGUGGGGGAUAACGUAGGGAAACUUACGCUAAUACCGCAUACGACCUACGGGUGAAAGCAGGGGAUCUUCGGACCUUGCGCGAUUGAAUGAGCCGAUGUCGGAUUAGCUAGUUGGCGGGGUAAAGGCCCACCAAGGCGACGAUCCGUAGCUGGUCUGAGAGGAUGAUCAGCCACACUGGAACUGAGACACGGUCCAGACUCCUACGGGAGGCAGCAGUGGGGAAUAUUGGACAAUGGGCGCAAGCCUGAUCCAGCCAUACCGCGUGGGUGAAGAAGGCCUUCGGGUUGUAAAGCCCUUUUGAUGGGAAAGAAAAGCAGCAGGUGAAUACCCCGCUGUUCUGACGGUACCCAAAGAAUAAGCACCGGCUAACUUCGUG
rnacentral:rRNA from 1 species